AUGAAAACAUAUGUUCCUGCAUUAUUCAUUUUUCUAUGGCUGCAGCUGGACGGGAUGAGCCAAGGCGAGCAAGUGAAGCAGCUUCCUUCCAUCCUGAGAGUCCAGGAGGGAUCCAGUGCCAUCAUCAACUGCACUUAUGUAGACAGUGCCUCCCUCUACUUCCCUUGGUAUAAGCAAGAGCCCGGAAAGCAUCCUAAGUUCCUCAUUGACGUUCGUUCAAAUAUGGAAAGAAAGCAGACCCAACGACUCAUCUUAUUACUGAAUGAGAAAGCCAAACACUUCUCCCUGCACAUCACAGACACCCAGCCUGGAGACUCAGCCAUGUACUUCUGUGCUGCAAGUGCACACUGCUCCACAGGCACCUGCAGCCCAGGCCCAAACCUGCCUGGAGCCCCAUCUACAUCCUGUGUCACAGGCCUCCCAGGGCAGCGUUUGCCUGUUGUUAGUUUGCAGUUCCUAACUAAUAUAGAUAUUAAUAAUACAAAAUAA